rnacentral:lncRNA from 1 species
UGGUUACAAAAGGAUUUUUAACGUGAUCUAUAUUUGUUUUGAAUAACUCUAAAUUUGGAAUUAACUUAAGUAAAAAUCUACUAAAAUAACAUGACAGUGUUGUAUCUAGCUAAUUUUACUAAAAAAAUAUUAGAUUUCGUGCAAAAAGCACUAAGUUGGCAAUGUUAUGUGUGGAGGGAUUUGGAGAUUCAAAAUGGGUGGUGCCUAUCAGUUUUGCUUGCACAUGAACCCACCCAGUUCUUGGUAUGCCAUUGUAUAUAUGUCACCUUAUUUGUAAAAAUUUGCAAAUUGUGAAACAUUUAACAUUGUAUUGAAAAUAGUUAUCUUAAUUGUUAAUUUUUGGAAUAAUAUUUAAUCUUUACUCUAUUUAAAAACUGAACAUGAAUUAAAAUUGUAUUAUAUAUAAUCUUAUAUAUUAUCAACUAUGUCUAUAAAUGCCCUGCAGGCAUCACCAGG